rnacentral:rRNA from 1 species
UUUAUGGAGAGUUUGAUCCUGGCUCAGGACGAACGCUGGCGGCGUGCUUAACACAUGCAAGUCGAACGGAAAGG